GGGGGAGGGAGUCCUGUGGAGGGAUUUGGGGAGCUGGCGUCUCUUUUCGUGUUUCUUCGUAUCUUUAAGAGGUACCAGAAAGCAGCCCACCCCCACCCCCAUUAAAAAAAAUAAGCGAGUGGGGAAGAGCCAGCCCCACGCCGGUCCGCCUCCCGCCCACGGUUCGGCCUCCCUCCCGCCCGCCGCCUGGCUAGGCGCUCCUUCGCCCCGAGUUCUCCAUCCCCUGAAUCCCGGGCUCGCGGGGGCGCGGAGAAGAGGAUCCAGGAAAGGAAGCCUGUCAGGCCGGCGAGAUAAAAUGGUGAUCUUGAAAGGCUCUGCGGAAGGACCCGAGAGUUGAGAUGCCGGUGAGGAGAAGGGCUCCCUCUGCCAAGAUCUGGGCAGCGUUGUAGGCCACGCAGGGGGCGAGUGCAAAGACUCUGAGGCGAGACUGAGCCCCGAGAAGUCUGCUCCUUCCUUGUUUUCCUUCUUCCUCUCUUCCUCCUGUUGUUACCCUUCCAGGAAGAUUGGGGAAAUGAAGUUUCCUUUCUCAGAAUUGGUUUUUCCAGUAGAAUGGACAAAACAAACUGUGGAAUAUCCGUACAACGGGAUACUACUUGGAAAUCUAAAAGGAAUGUACUGCCGAUACUUGUAGAUGAGAAAACUGAGGCUUUUGAGUGAUCUCCCUGGAAUCAUGGAGCUUUGAAGCUGGCCCAUGCCUAAAACUGGGUGUAGUGACAUUUUCAUAAGAGAACAAAACUGAAUGAAGCUACACGACAAGCUAGGUUUCCAGUUUAGAGAGCCCAGGUGAGGAAGGAAUUGGGGGCAGAACAUUCGAGUUCACAGCAGGGACACGAUCUUGACUCCAUUUUGAUUUAAGAUGUUAGGAAGACGCAGUUUGAGGGUACAGACUUGUUAAAAUCUCAGGAGCCGUGGUUGCUUUGUAUUUUUUUUAUGGGUGGUCUUUAAAUGCCUUUCAUUUGGAACUGAUGAAACUGGUGGAGACCUUAGAGCAAAUCUCGCCCCAGCCCAGUGAAUUAAACUGUCUUUGAACUUCUAAUUCUGGAUGAGUUCGUGACUGAUGCCAGCUGUCAGUCUGAGUGACCUCCAGCCCCCGAUCCUGCCUUAAGUAUGAUUCAGUAGUUACGAUAAGCAGAAACCUCUGCUCCUUAUUUUGGCUCUGAUGAGUAUUGUUGAAAAGUCCCUCUACAGGGGGAGUAGAAAUAGCCACAAUUCAGGAAAAGAUGUCUGAAUUAAGUCUCUUAUUCUGUCUAUUAGCCGCAGGGUUUGACCCAUGUCCUGUAAUGAGGUAGAGCUUUAUUCUCCUUUAUUCUCCUCUUAUGCAAACCAAGUGACUU